GUGCUCGCUUCGGCAGCACAUAUACUAAAAUUGGAACAAUAGAGAGAAGAUUAGCAUAGCUCCUGCCCAAGGAUAAUACACAAAUUAGUGAACUGUUCCAUAUGUUU
rfam:Pteropus alecto contig101624, whole genome shotgun sequence.